CAUCCAGCUCUUCAUAUCUUACUUUAUUUUGCUACUGCUAGUGGUUUGCUUAUCCACCAGUGGAAGAGACAUAUCCAAUGAAGCACUCGCUCACUUGACUGGAUGCGAAGUGGCUUUUCAGGAUUCAGGCUCAAAUUCUUACAUGGCAUAGACACCAAUGAUAUUCACUGGAUCCCCAAACUCAACAAUGGAAGGUCCUCAUAACAGAGAAAGCGGUGUGAUUGAUCGACCGAGCAGUCUGCGUCGUGUCGAGCCACCGGGGCGGGCGUUUUCCGCAUGAUCAUCAGAUGUUGUGCACAGGGAGGCCAAACCCUUUUAAAGUUUUAACAGAUAAGAUGGGGGUUAUAAACUUUUGCUCCAUAUACAUUGCAAGUGCGCAUCAUCAUCGAUCACAGUGGUCAAUUGUUUAGUUUGGAGUUUGGACUGCACCGCCAACUCUUCAUAGCUUACUUUAUUUACUACUAGUGGUUUGCUUAUCCACCAGUGGAAGAGACAUAUCCAAUGAGCACCGACUCUGAUGUGAAUUCAGUAA